CCUACGGGCGGCAGCAGUGGGGAAUAUUGGACAAUGGGCGAAAGCCUGAUCCAGCUAUGCCGCGUGUGUGAAGAAGGCCUUCGGGUUGUAAAGCACUUUCAGUGGGGAAGAAAGCCUUGGGGCUAAUACCCUCGAGGAAGGACAUCACCCACAGAAGAAGCACCGGCUAACUCCGUGCCAGCAGCCGCGGUAAUACGGAGGGUGCGAGCGUUAAUCGGAAUUACUGGGCGUAAAGCGCGCGUAGGCGGUCUGAUAAGCCGGUUGUGAAAGCCCCGGGCUCAACCUGGGAACGGCAUCCGGAACUGUCAGGCUAGAGUGCAGGAGAGGAAGGUAGAAUUCCCGGUGUAGCGGUGAAAUGCGUAGAGACCGGGAGGAAUACCAGUGGCGAAGGCGGCCUUCUGGACUGACACUGACGCUGAGGUGCGAAAGCGUGGGUAGCAAACAGGAUUAGAUACCCCAGUAGUC
rnacentral:rRNA from 1 species